UGAGUAACACGUGCUUAAUCUACCUCUUAGAUUGGAAUACCUAAUGGAAACAUUGGUUAAUGCCGGAUACGCAUGGAGUCGCAUGACUCCGUUGUGAAAGGGGCCUUUAAAGCUCCACUAAGAGAUGAGGGUGCGGAACAUUAGCUAGUUGGUGAGGUAACGGCCCACCAAGGCUAUGAUGUUUAGCCGGGUCAAGAGACUGAACGGCCACAUUGGGACUGAGAUACGGCCCAA
rnacentral:rRNA from 1 species